rnacentral:rRNA from 1 species
UACAGAGGUCUCAAGCGUUGUUCGGAUUCAUUGGGCGUAAAGGGUGCGUAGGCGGCGUGGUAAGUCGGAUGUGAAAUCUCGGAGCUUAACUCCGAAGCUGCAUUCGAUACUGCCGUGCUUGAGGACUGGAGAGGAGACUGGAAUUUACGGUGUAGCGGUGAAAUGCGUAGAUAUCGUAAGGAAGACCAGUGGCGAAGGCGGGUCUCGUGGACAGUUCCUGACGCUGAGGCACGAAGGCCAGGGGGAGCAAACAGG